UACGGGAGGGGGCUAGCGUUGUUCGGAAUUACUGGGCGUAAAGCGCGCGUAGGCGGACCUGCAAGUCGGGGGUGAAAGCCCGAGGCUCAACCUCGGAACUGCCUUCGAUACUGCGGGUCUCGAGUCCGGGAGAGGUGAGUGGAAUUCCUAGUGUAGAGGUGAAAUUCGUAGAUAUUAGGAAGAACACCAGUGGCGGAAGGCGGCUCACUGGCCCGGUACUGGACGCUGAGGCGCGAAAGCGUGGG
rnacentral:rRNA from 1 species